AACGAACGCUGGCGGCGUGCUUAACACAUGCAAGUCGAACGCGAAAGGGACUUCGGUCCCGAGUAGAGUGGCGCACGGGUGAGUAACGCGUGGGAACAUACCUUUUGGUUCGGAACAACACAGGGAAACUUGUGCUAAUACCGGAUAAGCCCUUACGGGGAAAGAUUUAUCGCCGAAAGAUUGGCCCGCGUCUGAUUAGCUAGUUGGUGAGGUAACGGCUCACCAAGGCGACGAUCAGUAGCUGGUCUGAGAGGAUGAUCAGCCACAUUGGGACUGAGACACGGCCCAAACUCCUACGGGAGGCAG
rnacentral:rRNA from 1 species